CCAAGUCCUGGUUUUGAUCGAACAACCGCAAGAAAAAAGUGUAUAUACAUCUUUCCGGAAAAGCUACUGGCUCGGGCAAACAUCCGGAUCAACAUCCAGCGAAUGAAUAUUCACCGGAAGAACAUUGAGUGGUAAAAUGCGCAGCAAAAUCGUUAAUUUUUGGUAAACACGGUCCGCAGUUUACUACGAACCUUCAGGUUUCUUCCUGCUGAAAGUUGCCGUGUGACGUCAUCGUAAAUUGAUCCCCCUCCGGGGAUCCAUUCCAGAGAAGCGAGAAAAAAAUGGACCCAAACAUCACAAUUGUAUUACUUGUAAUAUAAUGUACUAUUCAUAUAUUUAUGUAUGAGAUAAUAAAAUACAUGUUAUGUCUUUCGAA